rnacentral:rRNA from 1 species
UGGGGAAUAUUGCACAAUGGGCGAAAGCCUGAUGCAGCGACGCCGCGUGAGCGAAGAAGUAUUUCGGUAUGUAAAGCUCUAUCAGCAGGGAAGAAAAUGACGGUACCUGACUAAGAAGCUCCGGCUAAAUACGUGCCAGCAGCCGCGGUAAUACGUAGGUGGCAAGCGUUAUCCGGAUUUACUGGGUGUAAAGGGCGUGUAGGCGGGAUCGCAAGUCAGAUGUGAAAACUGGAGGCUCAACCUCCAGCCUGCAUUUGAAACUGUGGUUCUUGAGUACUGGAGAGGCAGACGGAAUUCCUAGUGUAGCGGUGAAAUGCGUAGAUAUUAGGAGGAACACCAGUGGCGAAGGCGGUCUGCUGGACAGCAACUGACGCUGAGGCGCGAAAAGCGUGGGGAGCAAAACAGGAUUAGAUACCC